rnacentral:lncRNA from 1 species
GGAAAGACCUGAAUCACCUCUCAAGCUCUGGUUCUCCCUGGCUGUUUAGAUACCAGGGAAGGUUUGAGUUGGCCCUGUGGGAUCAACUGUCACUCCAGCCCCACUGGAAAUUUCCAUUUUAAUCUGGGAAAAGAGGGAAAUCUACCACUAGGAGGGUGAGCUUCGCGCAACUCUUGCAGCCAAACGUCCUCACAACUGAAGCAGGAAGUGGCUUUUCUAUCUUCAGGGAAUGGUUGUUUCUGGGACCGUCCUUCACAGGCUUGCAGUACCUGAACUGAACCAGUGUCUGGGUGUGGAGGAUCCACCUGAGGAUUGUUGCCAACAGCCAUAAAAAGAGAACUGGAGGGGAAGAUCGAAGGCUGUUGAUUUUCUAGGAGCAGCUUGUGUGGAUGGUCUUCCUGAUAGGAACUCGGCUGUUUUCAUCAGAGGGGGAGCUCAGGCCUCACUGUGGCUGGGAAUGGCUGCUGUUCUGUCAGGGGAGCUCUGAUCUUCACCGUGAGCAUCACUUCCUGGCUCCAGUAUGGAUCCCUCAGCCUGUGGCACAAAUCCUUCACCCCACCGGCAUAGGCUUUCUGGCUCCCACCACUGGCCUUUGGGCCUUCAGGUGCAGAUCCUCAAUACUGACAAGCGUGAGACGUUGCCAUGGGCUCUGGGCCUCUGGCUGGACUCAUGGAGGACACUGCCUUGGGCUCUAAGCCUUUAGCUGGACUUGUGUGGGAAAUUGCUGAUCCAGGCUCUCGGCUAGAUUCUUUGGGCCCCUAAUGUGUGGC